rnacentral:rRNA from 1 species
GAUGAACGCUGGCGGCGUGCCUAAUACAUGCAAGUAGAACGCUGAAGCUUGGUGCUUGCACCGAGCGGAUGAGUUGCGAACGGGUGAGUAACGCGUAGGUAACCUGCCUCUUAGCGGGGGAUAACUAUUGGAAACGAUAGCUAAUACCGCAUAAAAGUCGAUAUCGCAUGAUAUUGAUUUGAAAGGUGCAAAUGCAUCACUAAGAGAUGGACCUGCGUUGUAUUAGCUAGUUGGUGAGGUAACGGCUCACCAAGGCGACGAUACAUAGCCGACCUGAGAGGGUGAUAGGCCACACUGGGACUGAGACACGGCCCAGACUCCUACGGGAGGCAGCAGUAGGGAAUCUUCGGCAAUGGGGGCAACCCUGACCGAGCAACGCCGCGUGAGUGAAGAAGGUUUUCGGAUCGUAAAGCUCUGUUGUAAGAGAAGAACGAGUGUGAGAGUGGAAAGUUCACACUGUGACGGUAACUUACCAGAAAGGGACGGCUAACUACGUG